UCUCUGCUACAUUUAUAGGUCUGAAUAUCAUUAUAUCACAAAGCCCAGAAAUAUAAUUUUGAAUUUUCUUGCAGUGUGAAUGCCUAUGUCUAUGUUCAUCUAGCCUUUGUGUAUGAAGUGUUUCAUGGUCACCAUAUUUUGCUGUAAGCACGCCUUGAUGUAACAUAAUACCACAAUUAAUUCUCCAUCACAGUGUUAAUGCUUUUGUGGGUGCCUUUAUUCUAUUGGCUUGCUGUAUUGUUUUACAGAGUAUUUAAUGAGAGUUGGGGAGUACUACAGGCAGUCACAAGCAAUGUGGAAAUUAAUGUGACACUUAAACCAAUGUGGCUCUGUUGAUGUUGAUCAUUUUCUUCAUAGGGAUUUUGAAUUUUAACUUAGCACUCAAUUUCUAUCAUGAUUCUGGAAUAGUUCUGAUUUUAUGCAAGCUAAUAUUUCUUGCUGGCGGAGUCUGGAGAUAAUGGAACUCAACAUUCUUUUAGACUGACAUGAAAACCAAGAAUGCCAAGUAUUUUUUAAAGCAAAUUCUUGUAAUAUUCCUGAAAGAGCUAAAUUGCAGGAAUAAAACCUGACCACACUCUGUAAUUUGGAAAUAGGUCUGACCAAUAUCUGACGUUCUAUCAUAUUCUGCAGUUUGGAAUUACCGCAGGGAUGCUUGCAAGGUAUAAGGAAUGGGACUUAGGCAUUUUGUGUUUAAACUGUGUUCUUGCUGUUAAGUCAUCAACUGAAAGAUAUGCAGUUCCAGACAUCUGAUUGACCCAAAUUCCUGUGCCAUGCCAACACCAUUUUGAAACCAAGGUUUUAUUUAGGAUUAGCAAUACCCCCACCUGGGUGUUCUCGGAGAGUAGCAAAAGGAAGACUGAGUCCCAGGAAUUAGCUUCUGAAAUCAAUAGCCAACUCUUGUCUUGUCAGCAAAUAUCGGGCAACAAUGAUAUUUCAAUCAUAAAGGAAAUUGUGAGAGAUUUUCAGUAUUCGUACCCAAAUUCCUGCUUCCAUAUGGCUUGGAAACAUUGUAUUCAAGUAGCCUAGUGGUUGUGAAAAUUGAGAAGACGGUUACAACAUAACGUAAUUGCUGUGGUUCGCUGGGAAUUUGGUCAUAAGUUGCCGUUGGCGUCUUGGAGCUGACCACGGAAGCAUUGACAAGUGAGGUAUGGCUCUCUCAAUAUGGGACAAGCUAAGCCCCAAUGAAUUUGAGAUUCUCCUCGACUAUGUGAGCUGUGAGUAUGAUCUAUUUGAAUUUUUACCUUCUCUGUCAUAUUUUCUCAUAUCUACCACUCAAUAUCACUUCUAAUGUUUCAGUUUGCUAAGGUUCUCUUCAAUAUAUCUCACCUCAAAAUUAUCCCUCCCUUUUUCAAUUUACUUAAUAACUAAUGUUUUUUUUUCUUUCAAUUUUACCCAUUGGCAUUGAUACUAAAUGUUAAAUCCACCCCAAAUGUAAAAUGAAAAGAGAGCAAUUAAGUAUGAACAACUGAAAAUUUUAUUGAAAAUAGAUCAAAAAAAAAAGGAAUUGUAUUAUCGCUUAUUAGCCCGUUGUCCGUCCACAAUUUCAAAAUGCUUAGCUUCGUUAUUUCAAGAUUGAUUUCAAUUCUAUUUGCUUUAUAUGAUAGCACUAUGUGGGGAUUCAAAACAUCUACCCAGAAUUUUGAAACUCAUUAAAUAUGCUUAUUUAUGCACAUUUUUCAAAAUUCAAAAAAAAUACUUCUUC